UACAGAGGUCUCAAGCGUUGUUCGGAAUUAUUGGGCGUAAAGCGCGUGUAGGCGGCUUAGCAAGUCGGGCGUGAAAGCCCUCGGCUCAACCGAGGAAGUGCACCCGAAACUGCUGAGCUUGAGUGCCGGAGAGGAUGGCGGAAUUCCCCAAGUAGAGGUGAAAUUCGUAGAUAUGGGGAGGAACACCGGUGGCGAAGGCGGCCAUCUGGACGGUAACUGACGCUGAGACGCGAAAGCGUGGGGAGCAACAGG
rnacentral:rRNA from 1 species